AGCGUAGACGGUGUGGCAAGUCUGAUGUGAAAGGCAUGGGCUCAACCUGUGGACUGCAUUGGAAACUGUCAUGCUUGAGUGCUGGAGGGGUAAGCGGAAUUCCUAGUGUAGCGGUGAAAUGCGUAGAUAUUAGGAGGAACACCAGUGGCGAAGGCGGCUUACUGGACGGUAACUGACGUUGAGGCUGAAAGCGUGGGGAGCAAACA
rnacentral:rRNA from 1 species